CGCUAGCGGGCGGCCGCGGGUAGCGCUCCUCCUGGGAGCGUGCGAGGCUCGGACCGGGCGGAGGAUGCGGCUCAGUGCGAAGGCCCCAGGGUUCAGUCCACAGUCCUGGGACAGCACCUCGAAGGGCAGUGCGGGAGGGCACUGUGCUGCUGCGGGACCCAGAGCCAGCCGGGACGCUGGAUGCGUAUUGGGUGCUGGUGCGCCCUGCUGUUACUCCGUAGUUAGGGACCAGGGACGCAGGCCGAGGAGAACACGAAAGAAGAGGGUGGAGCGUGAGGCCUAAGAUGCAGUUGUUAAAGAUGAUGCGCAAAUGCUGUGAAGACCUGCAGGGAAGGAAGGAAGACCCCAGGAGAAAAUCCUGGCUGGGCCGGAGAGCAGCAGAAGAGAGGGCCUUUGCCAGUGGGGCGGGGACCCUUUGGGCAGCGGCAAGAACUUCACUUGGGAAGCCAAGUAACAGGUUUAAGCUAACAGACUGAGAGAUCAAAGUUUUUUAGAAGGAUCGCUCCACAGGUUCAGAAGAAUGCACCAGUCUUAGCUGUAUAUGCAGCCGUCGUUCAGGUGGAUGAGAAAUACCUGCAAGCCACCAGGGACAUGCAGAUGGGAAUCUCAGUGAGGAGCCACUUCAGACCCACAAGGAGGCGGUAAUAAAAAGACUCAACACCAAGUGUUGAUACUUGAAACGCAUCGCACAUGAACGGUAGGAUUAGAAAAUGGGGCAGCCACUUUGGCAAACAGGCUGGCAGCUUCCAAAGGGCAAAAUAUACAGAUGUGUGAC